CCUGGCUCAGAUUGAACGCUGGCGGAACGCUUUACACAUGCAAGUCGAACGGUAACGCGGAGAGAAGCUUGCUUCUCACCGGCGACGAGUGGCGAACGGGUGAGUAAUACAUCGGAACGUGUCCGCUCGUGGGGGACAACCAGCCGAAAGGUUGGCUAAUACCGCAUGAGUUCUACGGAAGAAAGAGGGGGACCCGCAAGGGCCUCUCGCGAGCGGAGCGGCCGAUGACUGAUUAGCCGGUUGGUGAGGUAACGGCUCACCAAAGCAACGAUCAGUAGCUGGUCUGAGAGGACGACCAGCCACACUGGGACUGAGACACGGCCCAGACUCCUACGGGAGGCAGCAGUGGGGAAUUUUGGACAAUGGGCGCAAGCCUGAUCCAGCUAUUCCGCGUGUGGGAUGAAGGCCCUCGGGUUGUAAACCACUUUUGUAGAGAACGAAAAGACACCUUCGAAUAAAGGGUGUUGCUGACGGUACUCUAAGAAUAAGCACCGGCUAACUACGUGCCAGCAGCCGCGGUAAUACGUAGGGUGCGAGCGUUAAUCGGAAUUACUGGGCGUAAAGGGUGCGCAGGCGGUUGAGUAAGACAGAUGUGAAUUCCCCGAGCUUAACUCGGGAAUGGCAUAUGUGACUGCUCGACUAGAGUGUGUCAGAGGGAGGUGGAAUUCACGUGUAGCAGUGAAAUGCGUAGAUAUGUGGAAGAACAUCGAUGGCGAAGGCAGCCUCCUGGGACAUAACUGACGCUCAGGCACGAAAGCGUGGGGAGCAAACAGGAUUAGAUACCCUGGUAGUCCACGCCCUAAACGAUGUUAACUAGUUGUUGGGAAGUAAAUUGUCAGUAACGCAGCCAACGCGAGAAGUUAACCGCCUGGGAAGUACGGUCGCAAGACUAAAACUCAAAGGAAUUGACGGGGACCCGCACAAGCGGUGGAUGAUGUGGAUUAAUUCGAUGCAACGCGAAAAACCUUACCUACCCUUGACAUGUCAGGAAGCUCUUGUAAUGAGAGCGUGCCCGCAAGGGAGCCUGAACACAGGUGCUGCAUGGCUGUCGUCAGCUCGUGUCGUGAGAUGUUGGGUUAAGUCCCGCAACGAGCGCAACCCUUGUCACUAGUUGCUACGAAAGGGCACUCUAGUGAGACUGCCGGUGACAAACCGGAGGAAGGUGGGGAUGACGUCAAGUCCUCAGGGCCCUUAUGGGUAGGGCCUCACACGUCAUACAAUGGUCGGCACAGAGGGCAGCGAAGUCGUGAGACGGAGCCAAUCCCAGAAAACCGAUCGUAGUCCGGAUUGCAGUCUGCAACUCGACUGCAUGAAGUCGGAAUCGCUAGUAAUCGCGGAUCAGCAUGCCGCGGUGAAUACGCUCAAGGGUCUUGUACACACCGCCC
rnacentral:rRNA from 1 species